rnacentral:lncRNA from 1 species
UUGUAUAUCAAAAUAUCUGCGAGUUUAUGUACGGGAAGACAAUAUUUCAACAGCAGUGUAAUUAUGAAGAUUUUGACAAUACUAGACGAUGCCCACAAAAUCGCUGUACAAUUGGACAAGUGUUGAAACAAAGUGUUUUAAAUUUCGUGAGCAUGCACGAAAGCGUAAAAUACAUAGAUCGACAACAGUCUGAGAAUUGUAAUUUUUUUAAA